CGUCGUGCAGCGGUGUGCUCCCGGUACUUGAGUCGGCCACGUUUGGGUCGCCACCACCUUCCAGCAGCAGGUGGGCCACAGGCGUGCUCCCCAUCAUCAUCACCUUUGCAGCGCGGUGUAACCCAGCCGAUUGGCCCCGUUGACGUCGGCCCCUGCCCGGAGGAGUCGCUUCACCUCGGCCGUGUUCCCCGUGGCAGCCGCGGAUGUCAGCUCAUCCUCCAGAAUCCCCAUCGUCGUCGUCUUUGUCGUCUCCCCAGGUUGACAGGUACUCAACGAUAGUGGACAAAAUAUCUUGACAAUCCACGCGUGUUGCUGUUAUUUAUUUUGUCAUUGUCCUUUCGGUGCCCGUGCGUAAAGUGAAGGAGUCAAGUCGACAUAAAUACAGUAAUGUGUCCAGGCUUGUCUCAGUGCUUGAAUGGAUGAUGUCAUAGCCCUAUUUGCCGCUGUUUUGCGCAUGCGCAUUCCCUUUGUUUUGCUUCCGUACUGACAGCCGCGUGUCAACCCAAACUGAAACUGCCAUAAAAGACGUCUUUGCGUAUCUCCAGUGUGCGUGGUUAAUGAUUAACCGGCGAUGACAUCAUCGGCGGCGUCUCGCCAUGCGGCCACGCAGUUUAAACAGGUGGCUUUGUAAAGGGAUCA